rnacentral:rRNA from 1 species
UACGUAGGUGGCAAGCGUUGUCCGGAUUUACUGGGCGUAAAGAGCGCGCAGGCGGUCGUUCAAGUCGCGUGUGAAAGCCCCCGGCUCAACUUGGAGAGGCCAUCUGAUACUGCCGUGACUAGAGUCCGGUAGAGGAGCACGGAAUUCCUGGUGUAGCGGUGAAAUGCGCAGAUAUCAGGAGGAACACCAGCGGCGAAGGCGGUGCUCUGGGCCGGAACUGACGCUGAGGAGCGAAAGCGUGGGGAGCGAACAGG